CCCAAACCCCACCCACCCGCCACGACACCCGCCGUAUCGACAAAAGAGGAAACAACGAGAAGGGGGAGGAAUUCUCAGAGAGAUCAAUAAGGAGCGAGGCAGCAAGCAACCUCUCUGUUUUGAGUUUUGACCCGAGAAAUGGAAGCUUCUCGACAGCCGGAAGCAGCGUCGAAGCCAUCGCCGAUGAUCGCAGCGAGAGGAGACGGCGAAGAAAUCGAAUCCCCCCAGCAGAGAAGGUAGCUUCCCAUCUCCUCCUCCUCCUCCUUCAUCUUCGCUUCUCCACCAAAUCGGUAUGUGCCCCUUUUUUUUUUUAUUGAGAGAAAUUUAUAUCUAGGAGUCGAUCUGAAUACAUGGUUGUGUUUCUAGGGAGAAAUUUUGAUUCUAGAUCCGUUUUCUUCGUCAUGUCGACUACGUUGAUUAGUAGCGGGGCUGAAGCCACCGUGGUGGCGGCGGCGGCGGCGGCCGCAGUGGAGGUGGAGUUCGCGUCGUGCGACUGCUGCGGCCUCACGGAGGAGUGCACGCCGGCGUAUAUCGCGGUUGUGCGGGAGCGGCAUGUUGGGAGGUGGAUCUGCGGCCUCUGCGCGGAGGCCGUGCAGGACGAGAUCCGCCGCUCGGAACUCAUGAUCUCCACGGAAGAGGCCAUGGGCCGGCACGCCACCUUCUGCCGGAGCUUCAGGUCCGCCGAGGAGCCGGCGGUGGACCCGGCGGAGCAGCUGAUCGCGGCCGUCAAACAUCUCCUCCGGCGGAGCCUCGAGUCGCCGCGGGCGGUGCGGUCGACGCCGAGCAGCCCGCGGACCGGCGGUGGCCUUAGGCCCCGGUCCAACCUGGUCCGUACAGGGAGCGGCUUUCCGGAGCUGCUUGGUUGAGACUGAAACACAAACGUUGUCGAAAUCACAUGGAGGCCAAACAGACGACCGUGAAUAACAAGACAAAGAAGGAAAAAUUCCCAAAUUGCAACGAAGAGCCUAUCAACAAAUCAGUUUCAUGAUCCGGAGAAUAGCAUUUUAGGCCAAAAUUCUAGUUAAUCAGCAUCCUGGUCGAAGUUAUUAUUCAUUCUCCACCAGUCGUCCUUGGAUAGGUCUUCAUGACAAGUGAUGGAUGGAAGUGGAGAUUAAUUGCUGGAAUUUGUCAUUAAUGCCAUGAUUCCAUGACUCCUUGUUUUUUUUAGAUAAUUCAAGUUGCAGCUGAACUGAUUAAUCUGGAGGUGGUUGACCGAAGUGAUCGGUCCAGAUUAAUCAGUUGGAUACUUCGAAAUUUUUUUGAUAAGGUCCUCUACGACGCCUUCUUAGGAAGAAAUGAGGAAGCAGAAUAGUCGCAUCAUCUGUUCAGCUGUAAUUGUUAUGUAAUAGUUUUUUGUGGCGUUCCUUAUGUUUUUGUUAGUUUACAUUAAGUAUUAUUCAUAAA